rnacentral:rRNA from 1 species
UACGUAGGUGGCAAGCGUUGUCCGGAAUUAUUGGGCGUAAAGCGCGCGCAGGCGGUCCUUUAAGUCUGAUGUGAAAGCCCACGGCUCAACCGUGGAGGGUCAUUGGAAACUGGGGGACUUGAGUACAGAAGAGAAGAGUGGAAUUCCACGUGUAGCGGUGAAAUGCGUAGAGAUGUGGAGGAACACCAGUGGCGAAGGCGACUCGUGGGUCUGUAACUGACGCUGAGGAGCGAAAGCGUGGGGAGCAAACAGG